rnacentral:piRNA from 1 species
UGCUUUCCUGACAGGUUGUUUGC